ACAGAGGCAAAAUUACCAAAACUGUGUCACUGUCCCAAUAUUUAUGGACCUGACUGUAUAUAUAUAUAUAUA